AAGAUCAAUGAUGACUACUGUUAGUGUAUGAGUUACACAUGAUGAAUACAUGUCUGAAACUCUGAGGUCCAU
rnacentral:snoRNA from 10 species